AUGUAGAUAGCUCAGUUGGUUAGAGUGUGGUGCUGCUAACAACAAGGUUGCAGGUUUGAUCGGACAAUUGCAAAUUCCUGCAUUGCAGG